CCCUUAGACGUUCUGGGCCGCACGCGCGCUACACUGACCAGUGCAAUAAGCAUCCGUCCUUGGCCGACAGGCCCGGGCAAUCUUUGAACGCUGGUCGUGAUGGGGAUAGACUUUUGCAAUUUUUGGUCUUCAACGAGGAAUUCCUAGUAAACGCAAGUCAUCAACUUGCAUUGAUUACGUCCCUGCCCUUUGUACACACCGCCCGUCGCACCUACCGAUUGAAUGGUCCGGUGAAGCCUCCGGAUUGGCGCGCACCUCGGUGCCGCCGAGAAGUUGGCUAAACCUUACCAUUUAGAGGAAGGUGAAGUCGUAACA
rnacentral:rRNA from 1 species